rnacentral:rRNA from 1 species
GAUGAGCGCUAGCUACAGGCUUAACACAUGCAAGUCGAGGGGAAACGAUAGAGAAAGCUUGCUUUUUCUAGGCGUCGACCGGCGCACGGGUGAGUAACGCGUAUCCAACCUGCCCAUCACUUGGGGAUAACCUUGCGAAAGUAAGACUAAUACCCAAUGACGUCCAUAGAAGACAUCUGAAAUGGAUUAAAGAUUUAUCGGUGAUGGAUGGGGAUGCGUCUGAUUAGCUUGUUGGCGGGGUAACGGCCCACCAAGGCGACGAGCAGUAGGGGUUCUGAGAGAAAGGCCACCCACAUUGGAACUGGGACACGGGCCAAACUCAUACGGGAGGAAGCAGGGAGGAAUAUUGGUCAAUGGACGAUAGUCUGAACCAGCCAAGUAGCGUGCAGGAUGACGGCCCUAUGGGUUGUAAACUGCUUUUAUAAGGGAAUAAAGUGGGAGUCGUGACUCCUUUUGCAUGUACCUUAUGAAUAAGGACCGGCUAAUUCCGUGCCAGCCGCCGCGGUAA